rnacentral:rRNA from 1 species
GUGCCAGCAGCCGCGGUAAAACGUAGGAGGCAAGCGUUAUCCGGAUUUACUGGGCGUAAAGCGUGUGCAGGUGGUUCGGUAAGUUGGAUGUGAAAGCUCCUGGCUCAACUGGGAGAGGUCGUUCAAUACUACCGGACUUGAGAGCAGUAGAGGGAGGUGGAAUUCCCGGUGUAGUGGUGAAAUGCGUAGAUAUCGGGAGGAACACCAGUGGCGAAAGCGGCCUCCUGGACUGUUUCUGACACUCAGACACGAAAGCUAGGGUAGCAAACGGGAUUAGAGACCCCGGUAGUCCUAGCUGUAAACGAUGUGAACUUGGCGUCGGCGGGUUCAAAGCCGUCGGUGCCGAAGCUAACGCGAUAAGUUCACCGCCUGGGGACUACGGCCGCAAGGUUAAA